AGAGUUUGAUUCCUGGCUCAGAUUGAACGCUUAGCGGGAUGCUUUUACACAUGCAAGUCGAACGGCAGCACGAGGAAGUUUACUUCUUUGGUGGCGAGUGGCGGACGGGUGAGUAAUGUAUCGGAACGUGCCCAGUAGUGGGGGAUAACUACGCGAAAGCGUAGCUAAUACCGCAUAUUCUCUUCGGAGGAAAGGGGGGGAUCAUUUGACCUCUCGCUAUUGGAGCGGCCGAUAUCAGAUUUAGUUAGUUGGUGGGGUAACGGCCUACCAAGGCAGUGAUCUGUAGCUGGUUUGAGAGGACGACCAGCCACACUGGGACUGAGACACGGCCCAGACUCCUACGGGAGGCAGCAGUGGGGAAUUUUCGACAAUGGGGGAAACCCUGAUCGAGCCAUCCCGCGUGUGGGACGAAGGCCUUCGGGUUGUAAACCACUUUUCUUAGCGAAGAAAAGUCUUAGGCUAAUACCUUAAGACGCUGACGGUAGCUAAGGAAUAAGCAUCGGCUAACUACGUGCCAGCAGCCGCGGUAAUACGUAGGAUGCAAGCGUUAUCCGGAAUUAUUGGGCGUAAAGGGAGCGCAGGCGGCUUAUUAAGUCUGAGGUUAAAGUUCGGGGCUCAACCCCGUGAUGCCUUAGAAACUGGUAGGCUAGAGUGCAGGAGAGGUGAGUGGAAUUCCAUGUGUAGCGGUAAAAUGCGUAGAUAUAUGGAGGAACACCAGUGGCGAAGGCGGCUCACUGGCCUGUAACUGACGCUGAGGCUCGAAAGCGUGGGGAGCAAAUAGGAUUAGAUACCCUAGUAGUCCACGCCGUAAACGAUGGAUACUAAGUGUUGGGAUAGAAUCUCAGUGCUGUAGU
rnacentral:rRNA from 1 species